rnacentral:tRNA from 3 species
AGCGGAUUAGUGAAACGGUAUCACGCGAGGCUCAUAAUCUCGUAUUCCUGUUCGAAUCAGGGUCCGCCCCCA